AUUCCCACAGAUUAUACCAUGGCUUAGUGAGUGCGAUUCUAAGACAGUUCCAAAAGACUUUUCAAUCCGUGGGAGUUUCAAAGUGGAUUCUCAGACAAACAUGGGGAGGACUGAGGCAGGCUUGGACACGCACAGAAUCAGACAACGAUGGUACGGGUUUCUUAUGUUAGCUUUUCAUAUCAUUUAUUAAGAUAAUUUCUUAUUUUAUAUGUAUACUUAAUACUGAUACAUACAGGGCUGAGGAAGUGGCUCAGCGGUUAAGAGCACUGUCUGCUCUUCCAAAGGUCCGGAGUUCAAAUCCCUGCAACCACAUGGUGGCUCACAACCAACUGUAAUGAGAUCUGGCGCCCUCUUCUGGAGUGUCUGAAGACAGAUACAGUGUAC
rnacentral:lncRNA from 1 species